AUCGCUUCUCGGCCUUUUGGCUAAGAUCAAGUGUAGUAUCUGUUCUUAUCAGUUUAAAACACUAACCUACUGGAUUAAAGAUUUAAAUGUAAGAUCUCAAACUGUGAGAAUCCUGGAUGGACAUCAGCCUUGGGAAAGAAUC
rnacentral:snRNA from 1 species